rnacentral:sRNA from 1 species
GAGUUUUUUUUUCUUGUGCAAUUUUAUCAUUUUUUAAAUAAAAGUCCCUAAUAAGGGAAUUGCCAUAUGGAUGUUUCUCCAUUAUUGUAUCUUGGCUGUAUUUUAUUUAUUAUUGGAAACAAUUUCAGAUUUUUGAACAAAAUAAAUUUGGAACUGUU